rnacentral:rRNA from 1 species
AUGGCGUCCUCCGGAGCCGGCGGGAAGUCCUCGAGGUCCGCCAUCGUGGCCAACACGGCCAGCGGGCACCACCUCCUCACCAUCCACGGCUACUCCUGCACCAACGUUCCCACCGGACAGAAGAUCAGUUCCCAGCCCUUCCAACUCGGCGGCCACCGCUGGCGGAUCGACUACUACCCCAACGGCAUAACCUCGGCGGUCGCGGAUUACGUGUCCCUCUCCCUAAUCCUCGCCGAGGAUGUCAAGGCGGCGGUGAAGGCGAAGCACAGCUUCUGCCUAGCCGGGGAGCCGGAGGAAAGGAAAGUCGGGCGGCUGAGGUCCGCGCCGGUGGUCACAUACUCGUCCAGGGGGUGUUGCUUCUUCAACCGGUACUCCACCUUCAUCAGAAGGGAGGACCUGCUCAAGUCCAAGAACCUAAAGAACGACUCCUUCACCGUCCGGUGUGAUAUCCUCGUCGUCCAUGGUUACCGCGCCAAGGAGGCUUACGUCUCUGUGCCCCCAUGCGACCUGCGGGGGGACCUCCGCAAGCUCCUUGAGACCGAGAAAGGCACCGACGUGGUGUUCGAGGUCGAUGGCGAGACCGUUGCGGCGCACCGGUGUGUGCUCGCGGCCCGCUCGCCGGUCUUCGCAGCUGAGCUCUUCGGACCAAUGAAGGAGGGCAAGGCCGACGAAGGCGGCAUCGUGCGUGUGGAAGACAUGAAUGUGGAGGUGUUCAAGGCGCUGCUCUGUUUCGCGUACACAGGAUCGUUGCCUGAGAUGCACAAGGAAGAGGAAGACAUCACCUGCCAGCAUCUGCUCGUCGCGGCUGACAGGUUUGACAUGGGGCGGCUGAAACUGAUAUGUGAGGAGAAGCUGUGCGGGUACAUCGACGUCGGCACGGUGGCGACUAUCCUUACGCUGGCUGAGCAGCACCACUGUGAGGGGCUGAAGAAGGCGUGCUUCGAUUUUCUUGCCGCUCCGACAAAUCUGAGGGCUGCCUUGGCCAGUGACGGCUUACAACAUCUGAGCGCGAGCUGCCCGUCUCUUAUGGCUGAGCUCAUGGCCAGGUCCUUGGAGCAUUAG